rnacentral:rRNA from 1 species
GACGAACGCUGGUGGCGUGCUUAACACAUGCAAGUCGAACGGAAAGGCCCUGCUUGCAGGGUACUCGAGUGGCGAACGGGUGAGUAACACGUGGGUGAUCUGCCCUGCACUUCGGGAUAAGCCUGGGAAACUGGGUCUAAUACCGGAUAGGAGCCAUUUUUAGUGUGAUGGUUGGAAAGUUUUUUCGGUGUAGGAUGAGCUCGCGGCCUAUCAGCUUGUUGGUGGGGUAAUGGCCUACCAAGGCGGCGACGGGUAGCCGGCCUGAGAGGGUGGACGGCCACAUUGGGACUGAGAUACGGCCCAGACUCCUACGGGAGGCAGCAGUGGGGAAUAUUGCACAAUGGGCGCAAGCCUGAUGCAGCGACGCCGCGUGGGGGAGGACGGCCUUCGGGUUGUAAACUCCUUUCGCUAGGGACGAAGCUUUUUGUGACGGUACCUAGAUAAGAAGCACCGGCUAACUACGUG